CAAGGUGCGUGGUCUAGGACACAAGACAAGACUGGCUUGCCAUUUCCCAGGAGCCAGUACUAACCUUGGUCCACAGUCGGACGCCCGAGCAGUUGACAACCAGGAUCCAGAGCCACGCUCUGGAGCCCUGGACAGACAAGGUUCAGUUUCAAAGCCUGGAGCUAAGGAUGACAAGGAUUCAGUUGGAGCAACCACCUAUAAAGUAUAAGAUGCUCAAGGCAGCUCCAGUUGAGGGUGAGCGAUUUCCUGAACGGUAAGUCGCAAACGCAUUCACAGCCACGACGCUAAAGGUGAGGGUGAUGGAGUUAAUGAAAGCCUGGAACAACGUCCUGGAAAACGACGAGCUAAGACGGAUCGUAAACCUACCUCACCAUAGAGCAGGAUGUGGAGGUAGUGAGAAUUUAUCUUACACACACUGAUGGAAUACUUAUUUGAAUACUAACAUUGCCUAUUUUGAUUCCUUGCCAUUCUACCUCAAAACAACCGUUACAUAUAAGUGCAAUACUAAUUUACUAUGCAAACACUUAGUACUUAACUGUCGAUCAAUUAUGCAAUACAAGUCAUCAGGGUUUUUUCUUUUCUAUUGGCAUAUAUUUUGAUGAAUUUGCUGGGACUUUGACAUUGUAUAGUACUUAUGAUAUCUUCCUUUCUUUUGUAAUAAAAUUAAUGCUGCAUUCAUCUUAACAGUAUUACCUCUCGGAUCUAUGCAAUUUGUGUACAUGUUCUGUAUAUUAUUACUUAUAUUCUAUGUCACUCUUUUUUGUAAAUGGAUGAACAGAUUUUAAUAUCAUAUUUGUUGAUUAUGAAAUGUAAUACAUAAUGUUUAAUGUUCGCUUGAGGCCAUGGGUUUAUUUGCGUUUUCAGUUUGUUUGGCCAUUGCACGAAAAUCCUCUGACAAGACAUUAAUAUUUACGUGCCUCUCUACGCCCAGGUGUAGGAAAUAUUCACCUGGUACGAAGAAAUCUGAAUGUCAUAUUUUCUUAUAACGUUUGCUAGCCCGGCAAAAGGUGGGUAAUGAUAAUUUUGUACAGCGCUUAGAACUAUAAAAGGUGUAUGCAUACUGUAUUGUGAUACUGUUUUACAGCUUAUACAUUGAAGCACUAAGUAAUAUUUGUAUCAAGUGCUCUCGAAACGUUACUACACAUGUAUUAUCGAUAUUGUCAAAACCGUUUUUACAGCUGAUAAGAAAUGCCUGUACACUUCUAACUUAGAGUCAUGAAACAUUUCAUUCCCUUAUUCCAAACAUUAUUUAAUUUUCCAUUAUUUCGUAUUUUGCAUAUACCAUGAUGGUUGCAAGGUUUUAUUAGCAUUUGAUAUGGUCUUUUUUUUUGGUGCCCCUUGAACGUUUAAUUUAAAGUGUUUUUUGGCGCCUUACAAAUCAUAUAUAUACAAUUUCUUUGUGUACAGAGCCUCAUUAUUUCUUGUAUUUUUGUGUAUUUUCUCGAACUCCAAGCAGAAAUCUAGACUUUCUUCUAUAUAUGU